CGGAAGCCGCGGCACCGUCUUCUUCGGCGAUGCAUCUCUUGAUCGAAAAAAUUCGAAGUAUAUCUCGACUGCAAACACUGUGACACGGGCAGCCCUUUCCCCUCGCAAUUCGUAAGCCAUUGCCAUGGCUUUCGUUCAUGUCGCCAUUUUCUCAAACAAGUAUGCAGAAUACAGGUAGUGUACCGCGACCUGCGAAAGAAUGGGUGUGUACUUAAAAGCUUUGGACAAACAUCAUCUCACUCGCGGUGGAGAGUGAGACUGCUGAAAAAUGGAGGGCGACACUUAGAAGGGUUUCGUACAAUUCCGGAUUUCAAUUUCAAUGUUGAAGUGUUCGAAAUAACAAGUGCGUGUUUCACGGGUCACGACGUGCUGUUGGAGGAGAUUGCAGAGUGUGCAGUGCAACAUGUCGAGGCCAAUCGCCUAUUUGAGGUCAGUAGAGUGGUAUCUUGCAUGUUCUGCAAUGCCCUUUGGAUAUUAAUAGCCCACCUUUGUCUCUUUCUAAUAGGAAAACUAAUUUAAGAACAGACCUUGCAUGACUGCGUUAAUGGUCAUACGAAAUGAUGUUGCUCAUAAGGCCAGGGUUUCUGCCCUUACGAGGAUAGCAGUUAUUCAUACUGGGCGAUUUUGACAUUGUAGAUUGCACUUUGAACUAGAAAGCUUUUUUACAGCAUAAAUUGUGCUUCAGCUAUGGCAGCAUGCGUUGCCUUUUGUCCUCGGGACAGUGUAUAUUGCCUCCCUCUGCCAUGGCAGCUUUCUGGCCUUGUGAUUUGCCCUGUCUUCGUGACAGAGAAUGAAUAAAUGGUUAUUCAAGCGUGACUGACACAAUUGUAGGAGUAAAUCCGCAAGGGUGGAUAAACUGGGAAUUUUCCCCUUUGCUAAAAGAUAAAUUAGGAAUAUAUGAUGCGUUUUCUGUAUUGAACUAAACAAAAAGUAUAAUCCCCUGGAGAUUAUCAUAAAGGUAUGGAUACACAUGAAA